rnacentral:rRNA from 1 species
UAUGCUAGUGAAAUUUAAUCUUUAUUUUUGUUGGGGCAUGAAGUUUUUUGUUGGUUUUUAUGAAUUUUAGGUAAAAUUAAAAUUUAUAUUUAGAGGUUUUUAUGUCAUUAAGAUUUUGAAGGCGAAUUAGAUUAGUACCUAAUUAGUGAAAAAUUAAAUGUUCAGGAGUAAAGUGGUAUUUAAACUGAAAGAAUAUUGGCAGAUUUUCUAAAUUAUCUUUGGAGGUUGAGUGAUAAUUGAGAACCCUCAUUAACUACUUGAUUUUUUGGCUUAUGUAUGAUCGUUUAUUUUAAGCUUAAGGUUUAGGAUUUUAGGUUUUGACUGUAAAAAUAGAUAUAUAUUUAGUUUAUGAUUAAGUUAAUUUGACCUACAAUAUUUUGAAUUGUGGAUUAUUAAAUUAGUAUUAGUAUGAAAUUGUAAAAGACAGUAAGAAAGUUUUUAUAUCUUUUUGAAGAGUAUUUAGAAAUGGCACA